rnacentral:rRNA from 1 species
GACGAACGCUGGCGGCGUGCUUAACACAUGCAAGUCGAACGAUGAAGCCGGAGCUUGCUCUGGUGAAUUAGUGGCGAACGGGUGAGUAACACGUGAGUAACCUGCCCUUGACUCUGGGAUAACUGCUAGAAAUGGUAGCUAAUACCGGAUACGACCCUCGGCGGCAUCGCCAGGGGGUGGAAAGAAUUUCGGUCAAGGAUGGACUCGCGGCCUAUCAGCUAGUUGGUGAGGUAACGGCUCACCAAGGCGACGACGGGUAGCCGGCCUGGGAGGGUAUCCGGCCACACUGGGACGGAGAUACGGCCGAGACUCCUACGGGAGGCAGCAGUGGGGAAUAUUGCACAAUGGGCGCAAGCCUGAUGCAGCGACGCCGCGUGGGGGAUGACGGCCUUCGGGUUGUAAACCUCUUUCAGUAGGGACGAAGCGCAAGUGACGGUACCUACAGAAGAAGCACCGGCCAACUACGUGCCAGCAGCCGCCGUAA